rnacentral:lncRNA from 1 species
AGCUUGGGGCUGGACCCCAGCCUCCAGCCUCACCUCCUGCCGGCCUCUCUGCUUGCCCUCCCCGCCCCAGAGGGGGGGUGGGAGGCCUUGAGAUUGUCCCCGGUACCCCAAGGACGCCGAGGUUACGGGAAGUUUGGGGACUCGGGCCCCAGUAUCCUGAGUUCUUCCAGGAGAAGGAAGAUGGCGAAGACAGUGAGGGAAGAGAGCAGACGUCUGACUCCGGGGUGCUUAUCUGUGUGGAAGAGACCGGUUCUUCCUGACUGGCUUCAUGUCCCUCAAGAUCCCAAAGAAGGCUAUGGCUAUUUCAAAGCCAGAGAAUAGGGGCAGAGACUCAGCAGCCUGCUCCUGGGUGCAAAGAGACAAGGCCAGGUGCAGCCUGUGCUCACAGUCUUGGAAGCUUGGUGGUGGUGGAGGCGGAGACUUCUGUUUAGGUACUGGGCAGCCCUUGUUUGCAUAAUUGUCACCAGUCAGCCUUUGACCUACUGGGAGGUCAGCGUGGUUCUCCUGACCCCCUGGUGUCUCCCUUGCAGGUGUUCUCCUGGCUCUUCAAGUAUUUACCCGUCUGUGUGUGACUCAUAUCCAGGAACCCAGGCAGCUUCCCUCAAUAGAUUGCUGGCUUCAGAAGAUGAGCCUCCCCUGCCGCUCCACAAGGCUCAAGUGCUUCAAUGAAAUAAAAGAGAACUGAAAUAAAAGAGAAAUAAAAGA